rnacentral:rRNA from 1 species
GGGUUGUGAGGUUAAGCGACUAAGCGUACACGGUGGAUGCCCUGGCAGUCAGAGGCGAUGAAGGACGUGCUAAUCUGCGAUAAGCGUCGGUAAGGUGAUAUGAACCGUUAUAACCGGCGAUUUCCGAAUGGGGAAACCCAGUGUGAUUCGUCACACUAUCAUUAACUGAAUCCAUAGGUUAAUGAGGCGAACCGGGGGAACUGAAACAUCUAAGUACCCCGAGGAAAAGAAAUCAACCGAGAUUCCCCCAGUAGCGGCGAGCGAACGGGGAGCAGCCCAGAGCCUGAAUCAGUGUGUGUGUUAGUGGAAGCGUCUGGAAAGGCGUGCGAUACAGGGUGACAGCCCCGUACACAAAAAUGCACAUAUUGUGAGCUCGAUGAGUAGGGCGGGACACGUGGUAUCCUGUCUGAAUAUGGGGGGACCAUCCUCCAAGGCUAAAUACUCCUGACUGACCGAUAGUGAACCAGUACCGUGAGGGAAAGGCGAAAAGAACCCCGGCGAGGGGAGUGAAAAAGAACCUGA